AUGUCAGUCACUUAUAAAAGUUGUGUUUUCAGGUUUUUGUUGUGUGUGUGUGUGUGUCGGUGUGUGUCGGUGUGUGUUUGUGUUCACUGUUGUGUGAAGGAGGUUUUUGUACGAUGGUUAAACAGGAUUCAAUCACUGUGGCUCACGUUUGGUGGAGGAACCAAACUCAUUGUAAACACCGGCUCCGUGGUCAGGCCCUCAGUCUCUCUUCUUGGCCCCUCCUCUGAGCAGCUCUCCGGGGGCUCGGCCACACUGGUCUGCCUGCUGACCUCCUACUCUCCUCAGGGAGCCUCGGUGGUCUGGGAGGCGGACGGGACAGAGGUGACAGAGGGGGUCCUGAGCAGCUCGGAGGAGGACAGGAGUGGAUUCUACAGCAGCAGCAGCACCCUGAACCUGAGCCGGGAGCGCUGGCUGGAAGGAGAGCGGUUCUCCUGUAAGGUCCUCCAUCAGGGGAACAGUCAGACCCAGUCGCUCCUCAGGAGCCAGUGUGAGGGUUAGAGGAGCUGCUUGAAGGUCAGGACAGGAGCUCUGUACAAACAAGCUGUCAAUGUGCUGAGAAACUGUCAUGUUGAUGUUUGGAUAAUAAAGAUUGAACUGAGAAACA